AACGUAGGACACGAGCGUUAUCCGGAGUUACUGGGCGUAAAGGGCGGGUAGGUGGUGCGAUAAGACUGGUGUGAAAGCCUUCGGCUUAACCGAGGGAGGACACUGGUGACUGUCGGACUUGAGGCAGAUAGAGGGGUGUAGAAUUCCGGGUGUAGUGGUGAAAUGCGUAGAGAUCCGGAGGAAUACCAGAGGCGAAGGCGGCACCCUGGGUCUGACCUGACACUGAUCCGCGACAGCAUGGGGAGCGAACGG
rnacentral:rRNA from 1 species